CCUCAAAUUGGUUGCAGCUACAAGAAGACAUCUGCCCUCUAUAAGAAAAUCCAUGUGAAGACUAGCACAGAUCAGGGACUUGGAGGUGCUAGCCCGCAAGUAACUUUGACAGCUGAUCUCUUUCUUUUUCUUCAAGCACCUUGGACACUCCAAAGGAUGAAGAGAUCUAGAGGAGGAAGAGAGGAGAAGGAGAAGAGCUAUGAAAAAAUAAAACUAGCAAGGGGAGAGAGGUAUGAUGUCGAGAACAAGGGACCCUUUUUUAUAGGC
rnacentral:lncRNA from 1 species